GGGUGCCAAGAGGCAGACCGCAGGCCAUCUUGAGAAGGACUCCAUGUUCAAGUGCAGAAAGGGCCCAAUCUCGUGGAUGAACCACAUGGCCAGCUUCUGGGUGCAGGCACAGUGCCACGUCUUCCAUCACUUCGUGAUGUGCCACACCAGCACUGAAGAGACAGCCUGGAGACAGGGCAAGAGGAAGGCUGCGAAGGAUGAGGUGGUGAAUUCCAGCUUCUUCCUGACCCUGAGCCCACCCCCAAGGUGGCCCUCAACCUUUAAGAGUGGGAGAGCAAAAUUGACGGCUUCGAGCGCUUCACCAAGAAGAUGGACCACAGGGCACUCAGCUCAACUUCUCAGCCAAUGAGUUGACAUGCAAGCAGAUUAUGGUGACGGGCUUUAAGAAAGAGCAUCAGAAGGUGGCCAGCUCUUCAGCCUCAGCCAGGUCUUGGAGCUGGACCAGGCCAUCACUUCACCAGAGAUGCCUUCAACACCGUCGGUGAGCUCUUUGCCAAUCAGCCCAGCCAGGAACUGGACCCAGUCAUGGACCUGUUAGUGCUGUCUCUGGGACACCAGGUCAUCAUCCUGGACAUCAUCCACAUACACAAGGAAGCUCUUACCAAAGUCAUGGAGAGCAGGCAACAUGUGGCAGAAGGGAAGACAGAGAUGCAGAGGCUGAUGACAUCAGAAUCACAGGAACAGGAUUUCUUUGGACACUGUGGCUGAAAUUCACCACUUCCAUCCAAUUCCAGUGAGAAACAUGGACUCACAGAUGCAGCAUUUCUUGCAACAAGAGAUACUAUUUUUUCAAAAGGUCACCCAGGAAUUGAUAGUGUUGAAUGACUAGAUACUC
rnacentral:lncRNA from 1 species